rnacentral:snRNA from 1 species
UCGCUUCAGCAACGCACAUACUAAAAUUGGUAUGAUACAGAGAAGAUUAGCAUGGCCCCUACACAAGGAUGACAUGCAAAUUCAUGAAGCAUUCCACAUUUUU